rnacentral:rRNA from 1 species
AUGGUUUCCGCCGACGUGGCCCGCAACAUCGUCGGCAUCAUCGGCAAUGUCAUCUCCUUCGGUCUCUUCCUCUCCCCUGUGCCGACGUUCUGGCGGAUCUACAAGGCCAAGGGCGUGGAGGAGUUCGAACCGGACCCCUACCUGGCGACGCUCAUGAACUGCCUGCUCUGGUUCUUUUACGGGCUCCCCAUCGUCCACCCCAACAGCACCCUCGUCCUCACCAUCAACGGCAUCGGCCUUGUCAUUGAGGGCGCCUACAUCAUCAUCUUCAUCAUCUAUGCGGCUAAGAACACAAGGUGGAAGAUGCUGGGCGUGCUCGCCCUCGAGGCGGCGUUCGUGGCUGCCGUGGUGGCCGGCGUGCUCCUCGGUGCCCACACCCAUGAGAAGCGCUCCAUGAUCGUAGGCAUCCUCUGCGUCAUCUUCGGCUCCAUCAUGUACGCCUCCCCGCUCACCAUCAUGGGUAAAGUGAUCAGGACCAAGAGUGUGGAGUACAUGCCAUUUUUCCUGUCGCUGGUGAACUUCCUCAAUGGCUGCUGCUGGAUGGGCUAUGCGCUCAUCAAGUUUGACAUCUACAUCACGAUCCCCAAUGCCCUCGGUACAAUCUUCGGCCUCAUCCAGCUGAUCUUGUACUUUUACUACUACAGAUCGACCCCCAAGAAGGGCAAGAACGUCGAAUUGCCCACUGUCCUCACCAAAAACGCCGUUACCAGCGGCAACGUCUCCGUCACCAUCGAAAAUUAA